GCGCUCGUGGCACCGUUGGUUAGUGCGUCGUACAUACAUACAUGCAGUGCAGGAGUAUAUGCCAAGGUCGAGGGUUCGAUCCCCUCCUGGAGCA
rnacentral:tRNA from 1 species